rnacentral:tRNA from 1 species
UCUCUUGUGGUCCAGUGGUUAGGACUCAGUGCUUUCACUGCUGAGGCCUGGGUUCAAUCUCUGGUUGGGGGA